GUGGGCGCUAUGGCUGUGACGUGGGUGUGACAUGCAGCGACAGGCCAGUCUCCGACCCAUCAAUACAGCAGCCCUCCUAUUCCCCUGCCGCCGCUGGACCUGCCCAGGUUCCACCUACGGAAGUCUUCACCUUUGAAAUGAGACUAGGUUUUUCUUUGGUGCUGUAUCCUGAACAACAGCUAAGCAGCGUGGGAACCCAUCAAAGGUUAGAACCGAGCUGUGGUGACCCCUAAAAGCCUGCUGAUCCAAUGGAGCCGUUCCCGAUGGCCACUGGGCUGCACAUCAUCAGAGGAAGAACAAAGGUGUCUCUGAUCCCGAGAUAAUGAAGAGUGGAGAAAGCAGAAGUUAAAUCUGAGGACAGACAGUUCUGGUUACCUCAAUACCGCAGAAUACCAAUCGGGUCCCAGCCAGAAAAGCGGAGACAGACAAGAUGUCCAAGGCUGCGGAGAACCCAAGAAGAAGAAGAACAGCAGUGUUUGCCGAACUCGCCCCAGCAACAGGGUGGUCGUCCCUGGCUGCCACACCGUAGCUGUCAACUCUGAUUUCUUACACACCAUUGGGUCACCGUGGAUGAAAAAUCGGAUGAGAUGUCAGGACAACAGCUGACGAAAAGAUACACUGUGGAGACUACAGGAGAGUGACCCUGUGGGAGCCGCAGGGACAGUGUGGGUGACUUCUAAACCACCACGAAGAGCUAUGGAUUUCUUCUCUUUACAUCUGAGCUGGGGAGGUCAGCACAGACGCUGAAGCGCAUCACACUGCCCUAACAGCAGCAGUGUGUGGUGACACACGCUUCUGUGACCACACUAGCAGAAGGGGAACUGCCUGGCUGCAGAACUGUUUCCCUCUUAAUGUAGAACUUUUUUUUUUUUUUUUUAAUGUACCAAGAAAAGACCCAUUUGUUAUCAGGUCACAAUUUACACAUAAGGUCUACGAAUCUU